UACAGAGACUGCAAGCGCUAUUCGGAUUCACUGGGCGUAAAGGGUGCGCAGGCGGCCGUGUGUGUCAGGUGUGAAAGCCCGGAGCUUAACUCCGGAAUUGCGCCUGAAACUACAUGGCUAGAGCAUUGGAGAGGGUAGCGGAAUUCACGGUGUAGCAGUGAAAUGCGUAGAUAUCAUGAGGAACACCAGAGGCGAAGGCGGCUACCUGGACAAUUGCUGACGCUCAGGCACGAAAGCGUGGGGAGCAAAAGGG
rnacentral:rRNA from 1 species